AGAAAAGGCAGGUCUGCAAUGCCAACAUCUAGUAUCUAUCCCAAAGACCAGGGAGAAAGGAAGGAAAGAUUCUGGUUCUGUCCUCUUCCCCAAGGCAAGGCUGGCUGCCCUACCAACAGAGGCAAAGAGAAGAGUGUGCAAGGCUGGCUGCCCUCCCAACAGAGGCAAAGAGGAGUGUGUGUUGAAAUAUCCAUUGAAUCCCUGAGACAACUGGAUCCUGGCCCAUUGAAUCAUAAACUCAUUAUGGAGGCUGGGAAGACCUAGAAUGUGGCAUCACUAUUUGGUUAUUUAGAAAAUUGUUACCUCAAAAAUGACCUAGGGGUCCUUAGAAUAAUAACACACAGAAGAAUAGCCUCAUUUUUCUGUUGGGCCCAGGAAACCAUGCCGAUUACCGACCGAGCUCUCAAUGGAAAAAUGCAGUCGGCGUGAACCACGCACGAACACAGCAGAGAAAGAAGAAAACACACACCACGAGGAACCCUAAUAGGACAAUACAUUAUAAGUCACAGUGCUACGGAGAAACCCAGUAGCCACAUGGAAGCAGAGACCAUGCAUAUGCAUCUACUCCGCAGCUCUGUGAAUGUCAGCAGCUCCCACGGACUGGAGAUCCCGUGAGAUCCCGUGAGAUCUCACCCAUAGCCUCAUGGUACAUCCACUUGGUGUGCUGGGAGAGUCAGGAUGAGGACCUGAGAAGAACAGCAGCUUGAACCUGACUUCAUUUAACAGCCCACUGCCCUCUUGCCAAGAACCCAUCACAGACCUUCCCAGAAGAGAGGGAUGAGCCUCACCUAUGAAUAAGUCCUCAGAAACUCAAAUUUGAUUCUAAUGGAUUGUUUUCUCAGAAAGACUGAGCAUGUCCCCCCACAUCUCUGUCAUUUCCCACAGUAGUAACCUCUGCAGAUGCCACAUAGAAAACAAAACAAAACAAAAAAACAUGAGGUUGGUGGGCAGAUAGGCAGGGUAUAAACAAACAGCCUUGUAACCCAGAAGCUGUGUGAUAUACAGUAAACUUCACAACACUGAAAAGAUGUCCUAUCUGUUAAAAUGGGGUAAUAACAACUACCCGAAUGUUUAGGAAUAGAACUUCAAUAAAUGAUACAUUUUAUAGUACAGCA
rnacentral:lncRNA from 1 species